GCAAGUUGAGCGCACCUUCGGGUGAGCGGCGGACGGGUUAGUAACGCGUGGGAACGUACCCUUUUCUACGGAAUAGCCAUUGGAAACGAUGAGUAAUACCGUAUACGCCCUUCGGGGGAAAGAUUUAUCGGAGAAGGAUCGGCCCGCGUUAGAUUAGAUAGUUGGUGGGGUAAUGGCCUACCAAGGCGACGAUCUGUAGCUGGUCUGAGAGGACGAUC
rnacentral:rRNA from 1 species